AGAGUUUGAUCCUGGCUCAGGAUGAACGCUGGCGGCGUGCUUAACACAUGCAAGUCGAACGAAGCAUUUUGGAAGAAGUCUUCGGACGGAUUUUGGGAUGACUGAGUGGCGGACGGGUGAGUAACGCGUGGGCAACCUGCCCUGUACAGGGGGAUAACAGCCGGAAACGGCUGCUAAUACCGCAUAAGCGCACGAAACCGCAUGGUUUUGUGUGAAAAACUCCGGUGGUACAGGAUGGGCCCGCGUCUGAUUAGGCAGUUGGCGGGGUGACGGCCCACCAAACCGACGAUCAGUAGCCGACCUGAGAGGGUGACCGGCCACAUUGGGACUGAGACACGGCCCAAACUCCUACGGGAGGCAGCAGUGGGGAAUAUUGCACAAUGGGCGCAAGCCUGAUGCAGCGACGCCGCGUGAGCGAAGAAGUAUUUCGGUAUGUAAAGCUCUAUCAGCAGGGAAGAAAACGACGGUACCUGCACAAGAAGCUCCGGCUAAAUACGUGCCAGCAGCCGCGGUAAUACGUAUGGAGCAAGCGUUAUCCGGAAUUACUGGGUGUAAAGGGAGCGUAGACGGCAUGGCAAGUCUGGUGUGAAAGACCGGGGCUCAACCCCGGGCCUGCAUUGGAAACUGCCUAGCUUGAGUGCCGGAGAGGUAAGCGGAAUUCCUAGUGUAGCGGUGAAAUGCGUAGAUAUUAGGAGGAACACCAGUGGCGAAGGCGGCUUACUGGACGGUAACUGACGUUGAGGCUCGAGGCGUGGGGAGCAAACAGGAUAGAUACCCUGGUAGUCCACGCAGUAAACGAU
rnacentral:rRNA from 1 species